UACGUAGGGGGCAAGCGUUGUCCGGAAUCAUUGGGCGUAAAGCGCGUGUAGGCGGUUCGGUAAGUCCGCUGUGAAAGUCGGGGGGCUCAACCCUCGGAUGCCGGUGGAUACUGUCGGGCUCGAGUCCGGAAGAGGCGAGUGGAAUUCCUGGUGUAGCGGUGGAAUGCGCAGAUAUCAGGAGGAACACCAAUAGCGAAGGCAGCUCGCUGGGACGGUACUGACGCUGAGGCGCGAAAGCGUGGGGAGCGAACAGG
rnacentral:rRNA from 1 species